CCUACGGGAGGCAGCAGUGAGGAAUCUUGGUCAAUGGGCGCGAGUCUGAAGCAGCCAAGUCGCGUGAGGGAGGACGGCCCUACGGGCUGUAAACCUCUUUUGCCGGGGAGCAACGGGCGCCAAGUGUGGCGUCACUGUGUGUCCCCGGAGACAAAGCAUCGGCUAACUCCGUGCCUGCAGCCGCGGUAAUUCGUAGGAUGCGAGCUUUAUCGGGCUUUAUUUGGUGUAACGGGAGCGUAGGCGGACCGUUAAGUCAGUGGUCACAUUGAGGGGUGAAACCCCGUCUCGCAAUUGAAACUGGCGUUCUUGAGUGGAAGAGAGGUGUGCGGAAUGCGUGGUGUAGCGGUGGAAUGCAUAGAUAUCACGCAGAACCCCAGUGGCGAAGGCAGCAUGCCGGCUUCCGACUGACGCUGAAGCACGAAAGCGUGGGGAUCGAACAGGAUUAGAUACCCUGGUAGUC
rnacentral:rRNA from 1 species